rnacentral:rRNA from 1 species
GACGAACCGUGCGAACGUUGUUCGGAUUCACUGGGCUUAAAGGGCGCGUAGGCGGAUUCGUAAGUUCGGGGUGAAAUCCUUCGGCUCAACCGGAGAAGUGCCUCGGAUACUGCGAGUCUUGAGGGAGGUAGGGGCCGCGGGAACUUCCGGUGGAGCGGUGAAAUGCGUUGAUAUCGGAAGGAACGCCGGUGGCGAAAGCGCGCGGCUGGUCCUCUUCUGACGCUGAGGCGCGAAAGCUAGGGGAGCAAACGGG